UGAGAGGUGGUGCAAUGGCCGUCGUCAGUUCGUACUGUGAAGCAUCCUGUUAAGUCAGGCAACGAGCGAGACCCACGUCCACAGUUGCCAGCAUACCCUCCGGGGUGAUGGGUACACUGUGGAGACCGCCGCUGCUAAAGCGGAGGAAGGAGUGGGCAACGGUAGGUCAGUAUGCCCCGAAUCUCCCGGGCUACACGCGGGCUACAAUGGUUGGUACAAUGGGCAUCUACCCCGAAAGGGGAAGGAAAUCUCUUAAAGCCAAUCGUAGUUCGGAUUGAGGGCUGCAACUCGCCCUCAUGAAGCUGGAAUCCGUAGUAAUCGCGUUUCAACAGAACGCGGUGAAUACGUCCCUGCUCCUU
rnacentral:rRNA from 1 species